rnacentral:rRNA from 1 species
UACGGGGGGAGCAAGCGUUGUUCGGACUUACUGGGCGUAAAGGGUGCGCAGGCGGUUUUGUAAGCCAGAUGUGAAAGCCCCGGGCUCAACCUGGGAAUGGCAUUUGGGACUGCAAGGCUGGAGUUUGGCAGAGGAGACUGGAAUUCCUGGUGUAGCAGUGAAAUGCGUAGAUAUCAGGAGGAAUACCGAUGGCGAAGGCAGGUCUCUGGGCUAUAACUGACGCUCAUGCACGAAAGCGUGGGGAGCAAACAGG